GGAGGGAUUCCCGAGUGGCCAAAGGGGACGGACUGUAAAUCCGUUGGCGAAGCCUUCGAAGGUUCAAAUCCUUCUCCCUCCA
rfam:Actinobacteria bacterium CG2_30_50_142 cg2_3.0_scaffold_10568_c, whole genome shotgun sequence.